rnacentral:rRNA from 1 species
GACGAACGCUGGCGGCGUGCCUAACACAUGCAAGUCGAGCGGGAACCUCAGGAGGGGUAACCCUCCUGAGGGGAGAGCGGCGAACGGGUGAGUAACACGUGGGCAACCUGCCCCGGACACCGGGAUAACCCAGGGAAACCUGAGCUAAUACCGGAUACUCCGGCGUGAUCGCAUGGUCGCGCCGGGAAAGCUCCGACGGUCCGGGAUGGGCCCGCGGCCUAUCAGCUUGUUGGUGGGGUAACGGCCCACCAAGGCGACGACGGGUAGCUGGUCUGAGAGGACGGCCAGCCACACUGGGACUGAGACACGGCCCAGACUCCUACGGGAGGCAGCAGUGGGGGAUCUUGCGCUAAUGCGCGAAAGCGUGACGCAGCGACGCCGCGUGGGGGAUGACGGCCCUCGGGUUGUAAACCCCUUUCGGCAGGGACGAAGCGAGAGUGACGGUACCUGCAGAAGAAGUCCCGGCUAACUACGUGCCAGCCGCCGCAGUAAUAC